rnacentral:rRNA from 1 species
UACGUAGGGUCCGAGCGUUGUCCGGAAUUACUGGGCGUAAAGGGCGCGUAGGCGGAUAUUUAAGUCGGGGGUGAAAGCCCAGGGCUCAACCCUGGAAUUGCCUUCGAUACUGGAUAUCUUGAGUUCGGGAGAGGUGAGUGGAAUGCCGAGUGUAGAGGUGAAAUUCGUAGAUAUUCGGCGGAACACCAGUGGCGAAGGCGACUCACUGGCCCGAUACUGACGCUGAGGCGCGAAAGCGUGGGGAGCAAACAGG